AGAACGAACGCUGGCGGCAGGCCUAACACAUGCAAGUCGAACGCUCCGCAAGGAGAGUGGCAGACGGGUGAGUAACGCGUGGGAAUUUCCCCCAAGGUUCGGAAUAACUGAGGGAAACUUCAGCUAAUACCGAAUGGUACCGAGAGGUUAAAGAUUUAUCGCCUUGGGAUGAGCCCGCGUUGGAUUAGCUAGUUGGUGGGGUAACGGCCCACCAAGGCUUUGAUCCAUAGCUGGUCUGAGAGGACGACCAGCCACACUGGGACUGAGACACGGCCCAGACUCCUACGGGAGGCAGCAGUGGGGAAUCUUGGACAAUGGGCGCAAGCCUGAUCCAGCCAUGCCGCGUGGGCGAUGAAGGUCUUCGGAUUGUAAAGCCCUUUUGGCGGGGACGAUAAUGACGGUACCGCAGAAUAAGCUCCGGCUAACUUCGUGCCAGCAGCCGC
rnacentral:rRNA from 1 species